AAUCCGUCAUAACAGUUGACUGUAGUCACGUGGUCUGACUUUCCCAAUGACGUAUCUGCCGAGAUUUGACUUAAAUACUUUCUCUUUUAAAUUCAUUCAGUAGAUUUCUUCUCAUCUCGCCUUUUGUAUUGUUUUCUGCACGUACAUAACAGGUGUAUCAGAGAUGUUCUGUUAUAAGGCAACGACAGUUAUGUUUGUAGUAUUAACUGCAUCCCUAUUACUACAAAGUAACACAGAUGCUCUGUGCUUUCAGAGCUGGUGCGAGUACUACCCAGGUCUUCAAAGCUUCUGCUGUGACAUGUUGUCUAUCCAGGACUGUUGCAACACUUCUGAAAAACAGACUGAUGAUACAAACUGCAUAAAGGUGCAGUCGUCGUAGCCGCUGAAUAGAACAGAUAUGGAAGAAACAGUAUUUUCUAAAGCACGUGCAUUUAUAUUUAUGGACUAAAUAUUUUUUAUGUAAAAACUAAACUCUUCUUUUGCUCAUGAACUGUAAUUGAUUCAUUUCUUUUUUUAAUAAAUACUCAUUAAUAAAUGUUUCA